CGAGCACGGGAGUAGCAAUACAACUGGUGGCGACCGGCGCACGGGUGAGUAACGCGUAUGCAACCUACCUAUCAGGAGGGGAAUAACCCGGCGAAAGUCGGACUAAUACCGCAUAAAACAGGGGCACCGCAUGGUGGUAUUUGUUAAAGAAAUUCGCUGAUAGAUGGGCAUGCGUUCCAUUAGGUAGUUGGUGAGGUAACGGCUCACCAAGCCGACGAUGGAUAGGGGAACUGAGAGGUUGGUCCCCCACACUGGUACUGAGACACGGACCAGACUCCUACUGGAGGCAGCAGUGAGGAAUAUUGGUCAAUGGGCGAGAGCCUGAACCAGCCAAGUCGCCGUGAAGGAAGAAGGAUCUAUGGUUCGUAAACUUCUUUUGCAGGGGAAUAAAGUGCAGGACGUGUCCUGUUUUGUAUGUACCCUGAGAAUAAGGAUCGGCUAACUCCGUGCCAGCAGCGGC
rnacentral:rRNA from 1 species